GCUCCCUCGGGCAGCACGUCCUUUGAAAAUGGUACAGAGAAAGUUAGCAUGGCCCCUGCGUAAGGAUGACAGGACGACUCCAGAAGCUUUUUU
ensembl:snRNA U6 U6 spliceosomal RNA